GACGAACGCUGGCGGCGUGCCUAAUACAUGCAAGUUGAGCGCUGACGGUUGGUACUUGUACCAACUGGAUGAGCAGCGAACGGGUGAGUAACGCGUGGGGAAUCUGCCUUUGAGCGGGGGACAACAUUUGGAAACGAAUGCUAAUACCGCAUAAAAACUUUAAACACAAGUUUUAAGUUUGAAAGAUGCAAUUGCAUCACUCAAAGAUGAUCCCGCGUUGUAUUAGCUAGUUGGUGAGGUAAAGGCUCACCAAGGCGAUGAUACAUAGCCGACCUGAGAGGGUGAUCGGCCACAUUGGGACUGAGACACGGCCCAAACUCCUACGGGAGGCAGCAGUAGGGAAUCUUCGGCAAUGGACGAAAGUCUGACCGAGCAACGCCGCGUGAGUGAAGAAGGUUUUCGGAUCGUAAAACUCUGUUGGUAGAGAAGAACGUUGGUGAGAGUGGAAAGCUCAUCAAGUGACGGUAACUACCCAGAAAGGGACGGCUAACUACGUG
rnacentral:rRNA from 1 species